GUUGGGUAUGGUGGCACAUGCCUGUAAUCCCAGAAACUUGGCAGACUAAGGCAGGAAGAUUGCAAGUUUGAGGCCAGAUCUGGCAAUUUAGCAAGACCUUCAGCAAUGUAGCAAGUCCCAGUCUCAA
rnacentral:sRNA from 1 species